CCUACGGGAGGCAGCAGUGAGGAAUAUUGGUCAAUGGCCGUGAGGCUGAACCAGCCAAGUCGCGUGAGGGAUGACGGCCCUACGGGUUGUAAACCUCUUUUGCCGGGGAGCAAAGAGCGGGACGCGUCCCGGCUCGAGAGGACCCGGAGAAAAAGCAUCGGCCAACUCCGUGCCAGCAGCCGCGGUAAUACGGGGGAUGCGAGCGUUAUCCGGAUUUAUUGGGUUUAAAGGGUGCGUAGGCGGAAUGGCAAGUCAGCGGUAAAAUUGAGGGGCUCAACCUCGUCCCGCCGUUGAAACUGGGGUUCUUGAGGGGGCGAGAAGUAUGCGGAAUGCGUGGGGUAGGGGGGAAAUGCAUAGAGACAACGCAGAACUGAGAUUGCGAAGGCAGCAGACCGGCGCCCAACUGACGCUGAAGCACGAAAGCGUGGGUAUCGAACAGGAUUAGAUACCCCGGGAGUC
rnacentral:rRNA from 1 species